rnacentral:rRNA from 1 species
UAGAGUUUGAUCCUGGCUCAGGAUUAACNCUGGCGGUGUGUCUAAUANAUGCAANUCUAGCGCAACUUCGCGUUGAGCGGCGGACGAGCGAGUAACACGUUGGAACCUACCUCGAACUCACGGGAUAACAUUAAGAAAUUAAUGCUAAUACANNNAUAGUCCCGUAAGGGUAAAGAUUUUUCGGUUCGAGAGGGGCCUGCGGCCUAUCAGCUUGUUGGUAAGGUAAUGGCUUACCAAGGCUAUGACGGGUAACUGGUCUGAGAGGAUGAUCAGUCGCGAUGGGACUGAGACACGGCCCAUACUCCUACGGGAGGCAGCAGUAAGGAAUCUUCCACAAUGGACGAAAGUCUGAUGGAGCAACACCGCGUGGUUGAUGAAGCCCCUUGGGGCGUAAAGACCUUUUCUGAGGGAAGAAUUUUGACGGUACCUCAGGAAUAAGCACCGGCUAACUCCGUGCCAGCAGCCGCGGUAAUACGGAGGGUGCAAGCGUUAUCCGGAAUCAUUGGGCGUAAAGCGUCCGCAGGCGGUUUGUUAAGUUAGGUGUUAAAUUUUGCAGCUCAACUGUAAAUCUAUACCUAAAACUGGCAAACUAGAGUACUACAGAGGUAAGUGGAAUUCUGUGUG